rnacentral:rRNA from 1 species
GACGAACGCUGGCGGCGUGCUUAACACAUGCAAGUCGAACGGUGAAGCGCUUUCCUUUUUGGUUGGUGUGGAUGAGUGGCGAACGGGUGAGUAACACGUGAGUAACCUGCCCCCUUCUUCUGGAUAACCGCAUGAAAGUGUGGCUAAUACGGGAUAUUCUGCGCCUGCUGCAUGGUGGGAGUGGGAAAGAUUGUGCCUUUGGGUGUUUUCGGUGGGGGAUGGGCUCGCGGCCUAUCAGCUUGUUGGUGGGGUGAUGGCCUACCAAGGCGGUGACGGGUAGCCGGCCUGAGGGGGUGGACGGUCACACUGGGACUGAGACACGGCCCAGACUGCUACGGGAGGCAGCAGUGGGGAAGAUUGCACAAUGGGCGCAAGCCUGAUGCAGCGACGCCGCGUGAGGGAGGGAGGCCUUCGGGGUGUGAACCUCUUUCGCCAGUGAAGCAGGCCUGCUCCUUGUGGGUGGGUUGACGGUAGCUGGAUAAGAAGCGCCGGCUAACUACGUG